rnacentral:piRNA from 1 species
UGAGAUGGUACAAGUGUAUCUUAGACUUAA